UGGGGAAUUUUGGACAAUGGGCGAAAGCCUGAUCCAGCAAUGCCGCGUGUGUGAAGAAGGCCUUCGGGUUGUAAAGCACUUUUGUCCGGAAAGAAAUCCUUGGCUCUAAUACAGUCGGGGGAUGACGGUACCGGAAGAAUAAGCACCGGCUAACUACGUGCCAGCAGCCGCGGUAAUACGUAGGGUGCAAGCGUUAAUCGGAAUUACUGGGCGUAAAGCGUGCGCAGGCGGUUUGCUAAGACCGAUGUGAAAUCCCCGGGCUCAACCUGGGAACUGCAUUGGUGACUGGCAGGCUAGAGUAUGGCAGAGGGGGGUAGAAUUCCACGUGUAGCAGUGAAAUGCGUAGAGAUGUGGAGGAAUACCGAUGGCGAAGGCAGCCCCCUGGGCCAAUACUGACGCUCAUGCACGAAAGCGUGGGGAGCAAAACAGGAUUAGAUACCCCUGGUAGUCCACGCCCUAAACGAUGUCAACUAGUUGUUGGGGAUUCAUUUCCUUAGUAACGUAGCUAACGCGUGAAGUUGACCGCCUGGGGAGUACGGUCGCAAGAUUAAAACUCAAAUGAAUUGACGGGGUCAUAGCUG
rnacentral:rRNA from 1 species